rnacentral:rRNA from 1 species
CGCGGGGUUUAACAAUGGCAGUUCGAGCGGUACUUCCUUCAGGCUACCGACCGGCGAACGGGUGAGUAACACGUGGGUGACCGGCCCCUUACUCUGGGGUAAGCCGGGGAAACUGGGUCUAAUACCUGAUAUGACGGCCUGCUGCAUGGUGGGUGGUGGAAAGUUUUUUCGAUGGGGGAUGGGCCCGCGGCCUAUCAGCUUGUUGGUGGGGUGAUGGCCUACCAAGGCGACUACUGGUACCCGGCCUGACAGGGCGACCAGCCACAUUGGGACUGAAACACGGCCCGGACUCCUACGGAAGGCGGCAGUGGGGAAUAUUGCGCAAUGGGCGAAUGCCUGACACAGCCACGCCGCGUGUGGGAUGAAUGUCUUCGGAUCAUAAACCACUGUCAGAGGGGACAAAGGCCCGACGUUAACUGCCAUCGGGAUUGACGGUACCCUCGGAGGAAGCACCGGCUAACUCUGUGCCAGCUCCCGCGG